GAGACAGCAGCCGCCGCGGUAAUACGUAGGGUGCGAGCGUUAAUCGGAAUUACUGGGCGUAAAGCGUGCGCAGGCGGUUCGUUAAGACAGAUGUGAAAUCCCCGGGCUUAACCUGGGAACUGCAUUUGCGACUGGCGAGCUAGAGUAUGGCAGAGGGGGGUAGAAUUCCACGUGUAGCGGUGAAAUGCGUAGAGAUGUGGAGGAAUACCGACGGCGAAGGCAGCCCCCUGGGCCAAUACUGACGCUCAUGCACGAAAGCGUGGGGAGCAAACAGGAUUAGAUACCCCCGUAGUCCCUGUCUCUUAUAC
rnacentral:rRNA from 1 species